GUGGGGAAUAUUGGACAAUGGGGGGAACCCUGAUCCAGCCAUGCCGCGUGUGUGAAGAAGGCCUUUUGGUUGUAAAGCACUUUAAGCGAGGAGGAGGCUACCGAGAUUAAUACUCUUGGAUAGUGGACGUUACUCGCAGAAUAAGCACCGGCUAACUCUGUGCCAGCAGCCGCGGUAAUACAGAGGGUGCAAGCGUUAAUCGGAUUUACUGGGCGUAAAGCGCGCGUAGGUGGCCAAUUAAGUCAAAUGUGAAAUCCCCGAGCUUAACUUGGGAAUUGCAUUCGAUACUGGUUGGCUAGAGUAUGGGAGAGGAUGGUAGAAUUCCAGGUGUAGCGGUGAAAUGCGUAGAGAUCUGGAGGAAUACCGAUGGCGAAGGCAGCCAUCUGGCCUAAUACUGACACUGAGGUGCGAAAGCAUGGGGAGCAAACAGGAUUAGAAACCCGAGUAGUCA
rnacentral:rRNA from 1 species